rnacentral:lncRNA from 1 species
UUUUGAACUGGAAUAAUUAAAAACUGCUACCUGAAAUAAAUGUCAAUGAUCUGUAAAGAAAUGAAGAUGUAAUCUGCUCAUCAACUCAUCUGACACAAGACUUUCCAACUUAGAAUUCUUCCAUUAAGCUAUGUGAGCUUUCUAAAAAAAAUUAUUUUAAAGGUUUGAAGAAAAUUCUCUCUCUGGGGAUUUUUCUAGAGUGGCCAGAGUUGGUGAAUAAGGCAGAGUUUCUUUUACCUUGAGUAAGUCUUUCUGAUUUUUUUUAAGUGUAAAGGACUCCAAAUUAUCCGACUGAAUUCAACCUGGAUGGUAGGCACUGGAAACCAAGCCUAGAAUUUCCUCCUGAACAAUGCUGAGCCCGAAUCACAUUGGGCAGCACAAUUUCAUCACAAAAGCUUGCACAGUGCAAAGUCCUCAAGCCUUUCAUUUGGUCUCUUUGUCAGCUCUUUGCAUUGUUGAUCGAUGGGCCAGAUUGCUGUGGUCAGGAUUUUGCCAAUAGUCCGCUACGAUCUCAUGACUGGCAUUUUGCCUUUUUAAAAAUCAUCCCCUUUGCUCUAGGAAAGACUUUGUACCUUUCCAACCAGCUGGGCUGGCUGUUAGGACUUUGGGGUUCUUUACUUAUUUCUUUCCAGUGGCAGUGGUUAUCAUUUAUGUGCUCAUCGGAGAGAGAUAUUGACUGGUAAUUAAAACUCUGUAAAUGGCUCCUGGUGUCAACUGAUAAAGGCAUCAUUUCCAGGACAAUUCAUAGAAUGGAAGAUUAACUCAGAGAAGAGAUUCUUGUCCUGGUCUCCUCCAGCUGCAUCAUUCAUAGGAAAAAAGAAAAACCCAAGCCAAAAGCAAAACAAAACCCUUUGGGCAAAUAUGAAAAGUCAAGCAAAAUAAAUUCUCACAUUGGUCAUGUUCAAAAAGAAGCCUGAAAUGGUAACGGAUGAUCCAGAGCAGUACUUGUGUACCUUUGUAUCCCAUAUUUUCUCAUCUCUUAAGAAGAGGCUGUCAAGAGAGAAGCAGGUGGCUCAAUGGAGAGAGAGCCAGACCUGGGAACCAGAGAUCCUUGCAACCUAUUCUAAGAUGGAAGACCAGGCUGCCUCUCGAUGCUUCUCUAAAGGGCACCGUUCUUGCCCUUUCCAUUCCUAUAGCCCUUUCCCCAAAGAGGAUCAAAAUUUGGAAGCACACAAAGGCAAAGAGCCCAAGAAUUCCAUCUCAUCCAAUGAGAGAAAGGCAAAUUUCAUUGUCUACGAGACAGGCACGGUGAUAGCAGCCCUGUAA